GACGAACGCUGGCGGCGUGCUUAACACAUGCAAGUCGAACGGAAAGGCCCUGCUUGCAGGGUAUUCGAGUGGCGAACGGGUGAGUAACACGUGGGUGAUCUGCCCUGCACUUCGGGAUAAGCCUGGGAAACUGGGUCUAAUACCGGAUAGGAGCCAUUUUUAGUGUGAUGGUUGGAAAGUUUUUUCGGUGUAGGAUGAGCUCGCGGCCUAUCAGCUUGUUGGUGGGGUAAUGGCCUACCAAGGCGGCGACGGGUAGCCGGCCUGAGAGGGUGGACGGCCACAGUGGGACUGAGAUACGGCCCAGACUCCUACGGGAGGCAGCAGUGGGGAAUAUUGCACAAUGGGCGCAAGCCUGAUGCAGCGACGCCGCGUGGGGGAUGACGGCCUUCGGGUUGUAAACUCCUUUCGCUAGGGACGAAGCUUUUUGUGACGGUACCUAGAUAAGAAGCACCGGCUAACUACGUG
rnacentral:rRNA from 1 species